rnacentral:tRNA from 1 species
ACCUUGGUGGCUCAGUUGGUUGAGCGUCUGACUUCAGCUCAGGUCAUGAUCUCGAGGUU